AGGCAGGGGACCUCCUGGAAAGGGUGAGAAAACUGACUUCCACCUGCUGCAGUUUUGGGUCUGUGCGUCACCAUAACCCUCAAGCUAAAACACCGGACCCGGCCAGCUGGGGAAAAAGCAUCUAGCAUGGCUCUGAUCCUCAUACUCAGAGCACAUGAUGCUGAGGUUACAUCUGUCAGAAUAUUUCAUGACAGGAGCAGGAAAAGUAACGAAAGCCAAGUGAGUCCUGAUUUUCUUUCCCUGACUAUUCUCAGAGGACCACUUGGCAUGCUAAGGAAGGGUUCUUCUCUGAGACUCUGGAGAAAAGACCUCCAAGUUAAGACACCUCUGCCUUGGACCCAGGACUUCACGAAUGCUAGCCUCAACAAGACCUUGGUCUCUUAGGUUUCAGAAGAUACCAAGGUUGACCAGCCUGCCUCCAGUCUCAGAAGAACGAGGCCUUCUAUAUGUGCCGAGCCCCGAGUCCGACUCUACCUCUUCUCCUUCUACUUCACCUUGCUUGCACCCAUCGGAGGGAAUUUUAUCAAUGGAGAUUUGAGAUCCAGGAAGCCUAUACCCAGCAGUUUAAUGAGACCAUUCAUGGGGUGAGGUCAGAAGACUGCCUACCAGCAGGUUGCCAAAAGGAGAUACUUAUUUCCUAUAACACCCGAAUGAAUUGCUACAACACC